GCUUUUGUCACUCAGGACAUUACAAAGGAGCUCUGUGUCAGAAGCUAGGAUUAAAGAACAAAUACAGAACAAAUUAUUCCUCCAGCACCCCUACUGCAAGGAUUUUAAGAACUCUAUCUCAGGAUAAAGACCUGAGGCCCAAGGAAGACGAAGAGAUAUCUGAAUGGCCUGGACAUGGCAUGUAAAAAUGACUCAGCCAACAGCUGGAAAGAAGCUGCUGGCCUUCAGGUCACAAGAUGUACAUUGCUGGCCUCAGCUGGAUUUUCCCAGGGUCAGGUGCCCAUUCCUACCUAAUCAAAGAUGUAAGAAUGAUGAAGUGCAUCGGCUGGCAUGCAGAGAACAAUAAGAAAAAGAACUGAGUUGUGGGAAGACAUGAGGAAAGGACAUGAGGCUCUUAAUAACAGCUGCCAAGUACUGCAGUCGGGAAUCUGGAGCAAAGUGAUUCAAUUCUGACCACUGCCUGUGAGUAAAUGGGAUUUUAUUUUUCAAUACUUUUGUUUAAUAGUACCUCCUUCAUUACAUGUGAACAGCACUCCAGGACAGUAAAUCAUGAAAUGGGAAUAAAGCCUGUAAUUUUAAUUAACAUAUUUUAAAAUGUUUCUAAUUUGUAUGCAUUUGAUCAAAUUUUCAUUUGCAUUGAGCUAUUUUUUUUCUUUCUCAUGUAAUGUUUGACAUUACCAUUUCUUUCUUUAAUGAAAUACUAAUAUUUAAUAAAAUAUAUUACAUCCUUAA
ensembl:lncRNA LINC01445 long intergenic non-protein coding RNA 1445